rnacentral:rRNA from 1 species
AAUGGGUGAGAGCCUGAUCCAGCCAUCCCGCGUGAAGGAAGAAGGUUCUAUGGAUUGUAAACUUCUUUUGUAUGGGGAUAAACCUACGUACGUGUACGUAGCUGAAGGUACCAUACGAAUAAGCAUCGGCUAACUCCGUGCCAGCAGCCGCGGUAAUACGGAGGAUGCGAGCGUUAUCCGGAUUUAUUGGGUUUAAAGGGUCUGUAGGCGGAUGAAUAAGUCAGUGGUGAAAUCCUAUCGCUUAACGAUAGAACUGCCAUUGAAACUGUUUAUCUUGAGUGUUGUUGAAGUAGCUGGAAUAGGUAGUGUAGCGGUGAAAUGCAUAGAUAUUACCUAGAACACCGAUUGCGAAGGCAGGUUACUAAGCAACAACUGACGCUGAUAGACGAAAGCGUGGGGAGCGAA